GGAUACCUCAGUCAGUAGAGCAUAAGACUCUUAAUGUCAGGGUCAUGGGUUCGAGCCCCAUGUUGGGCA